rnacentral:rRNA from 1 species
GACGAACGCUGGCGGCGUGCUUAACACAUGCAAGUCGAACGGAAAGGCUCCAGCUUGCUGGAGUACUCGAGUGGCGAACGGGUGAGUAACACGUGGGUAAUCUGCCCUGCACUCUGGGAUAAGCCUGGGAAACUGGGUCUAAUACUGGAUAUGACCUUUCUCCUUAUGGGGUUUGGUGGAAAGUUUUUCGGUGUAGGAUGAGCCCGCGGCCUAUCAGCUUGUUGGUGGGGUGAUGGCCUACCAAGGCGACGACGGGUAGCCGGCCUGAGAGGGUGAUCGGCCACAUUGGGACUGAGAUACGGCCCAGACUCCUACGGGAGGCAGCAGUGGGGAAUAUUGCACAAUGGGCGGAAGCCUGAUGCAGCGACGCCGCGUGAGGGAUGACGGCCUUCGGGUUGUAAACCUCUUUCAGCAGGGACGAAGCGUAAGUGGCGGUACCUGCAGAAGAAGCACCGGCUAACUAUGUG